GACGAACGCUGGCGGCGCGCCUAACACAUGCAAGUCGAACGGAGUCAAGAGGAGCUUGCUUUUCUUGACUUAGUGGCGCACGGGUGAGUAACGCGUGAGUAACCUGCCCUGGAGUGGGGGACAACAGUUGGAAACGACUGCUAAUACCGCAUAAGCCCACGGAUCUGCAUGGAUCUGCGGGAAAAGGAUUUAUUCGCUCUAGGAUGGACUCACGUCCAAUUAGCUAGUUGGUGAGGUAACGGCCCACCAAGGCGACGAUUGGUAGCCGGACUGAGAGGUUGAACGGCCACAUUGGGACUGAGACACAGCCCAGACUCCUACGGGAGGCAGCAGUGGGGGAUACUGCACAAUGGGGGAAACCCUGAUGCAGCGACGCCGCGUGGAGGAAGAAGGUUUUCGGAUUGUAAACUCCUGUCGUUAGGGACGAUAAUGACGGUACCUAACAAGAAAGCACCAGCUAACUACGUG
rnacentral:rRNA from 1 species